UACGGAGGGUGCAAGCGUUAUCCGGAUUCACUGGGUUUAAAGGGUGCGUAGGAGGGCAGGUAAGUCAGUGGUGAAAUCUCCAAGCUUAACUUGGAAACUGCCGUUGAUACUAUCUGUCUUGAAUAUUGUGGAGGUGAGCGGAAUAUGUCAUGUAGCGGUGAAAUGCUUAGAUAUGACAUAGAACACCAAUUGCGAAGGCAGCUCACUACUCAAUCAUUGACGCUGAGGCACGAAAGCGUGGGGAUCAAACAGG
rnacentral:rRNA from 1 species